rnacentral:misc_RNA from 1 species
GAUGAAGAACGCAGCGAAAUGCGAUAAGUAAUGCGAAUUGCAGAUUUCAGUGAGUCAUCGAAUCUUUGAACGCACAUUGCGCCCGCCGGCAUUCCGGCGGGCAUGCCUGUUCGAGCGUCAUUUGUACCUUCAAGCUUUGCUUGGUGUUGGGCGUUUUUUGUCUCCCUCUUUCUGGGAGACUCGCCUUAAAACGAUUGGCAGCCGGCCUACUGGUUUCGGAGCGCAGCACAUAUUUUGCGCUUUGUAUCAGGAGAAAAGGACGGUAAUCCAUCAAGACUCUACAUUUUUAACUUUUGACCUCGGAUCAGGUAGGGAUACCCGCUGAACUUAAGCAUAUCAAUAAGCGGAGGA